GCUGGGCGUGGUGAUUCACGCCUGUAAUCCAAGCACUUUGGAAGCCAAGGCAGGUGGAUCACCUGAGGUCAGGAGUUCAAGACCAGCCUGAUCAACAUGGUGAAACCCCGUCUUUA
ensembl:misc_RNA Metazoa_SRP Metazoan signal recognition particle RNA